AGUGAACGCUGGCGGUAGGCCUAACACAUGCAAGUCGAACGGCAGCACAGUAAGAGCUUGCUCUUACGGGUGGCGAGUGGCGGACGGGUGAGGAAUACAUCGGAAUCUACUUUUUCGUGGGGGAUAACGUAGGGAAACUUACGCUCAUACCGCAUACGACCUACGGGUGAAAGCAGGGGAUCUUCGGACCUUGCGCGAUUGAAUGAGCCGAUGUCGGAUUAGCUAGUUGGCGGGGUAAAGGCCCACCAAGGCGACGAUCCGUAGCUGGUCUGAGAGGAUGAUCAGCCACACUGGAACUUAGACACGGUCCAGAGUCCUACGGGAGGCAGCAGUGGGGAAUAUUGGACAAUGGGCGCAAGCCUGAUCCAGCCAUACCGCGUGGGUGAAGAAGGCCUUCGGGUUGUAAAGCCCUUUUGUUGGGAAAGAAAAGCAGCAGGUUAAUACCCCGCUGUUCUGACGGUACCCAAAGAAUAAGCACCGGCUAACUUCGUG
rnacentral:rRNA from 1 species